rnacentral:tmRNA from 1 species
UCAUUUGUGGACUUUGGGGUCGAAAUAGGAUCGACGGACGUCUAAAGAUGUUAGCUUUUGCCCGGUGCGGUGUCGCUGUUAUCGACCCAUUUAAGCUAGUUGCAAAUGACAACAAAGCACCGAUGGCUUUGGCUGCGUAAGCGGUCCGAAAAAUUGGAACCUUAAGUCUUAGGCCUGCGGUCUAAGCGGGGUUCGGAGGUACCUGGCAACAGAAACCUCCACU